AGAGUUUGAUCCUGGCUCAGAACGAACGCUGGCGGCGUGCUUAACACAUGCAAGUCGGACGGGGCCAUAAUGAAGUAGCAAUACGGAGAUAUGGCUUAGUGGCGGACGGGUGAGUAACACGUAGGUAACCGACCCUGGAGCGGGGGACAACUCUUCGAAAGGAGAGCUAAUACCGCAUAAGACCACGAUCUGGAAGGAUUGUGGUAAAAGUAGCAAUACACUUCAGGACGGGCCUGCGGCCUAUCAGGUAGUUGGUGAGGUAACGGCCCACCAAGCCAAAGACGGGUAGCCGGACUGAGAGGUUGAACGGCCACACUGGAACUGAGACACGGUCCAGACUCCUACGGGAGGCAGCAGUGGGGAAUUUUGCGCAAUGGGGGAAACCCUGACGCAGCGACGCCGCGUGGAGGAUGAAGGUCUUCGGAUUGUAAACUCCUUUUGUAGGGAAAGAUAAUGACGGUACCCUAUGAAUAAGCCACGGCUAACUCUGUGCCAGCAGCCGCGGUAAGACAGAGGUGGCAAGCGUUGUUCGGAAUUACUGGGCUUAAAGGGCGCGUAGGUGUCCUGGCAAGUCAGAUGUGGAAUCUUUCCGCUUAACGGGAAAAUUGCAUUUGAAACUGCCGGGAUUGAGUCAGACAGGGGAUGGCGGAAUUCCUGGUGUAGCGGUGAAAUGCGUAGAUAUCAGGAGGAAGGCCUGUGGUGAAGACGGCCAUCUGGGUCUGAACUGACACUGAGGCGCGAAAGCGUGGGUAGCAAACAGGAUUAGAUACCCUGGUAGUCCACGCCCUAAACGGUGGGUA
rnacentral:rRNA from 1 species